rnacentral:rRNA from 1 species
UGGGGAAUAUUGGACAAUGUGCGCAAGCCUGAUCCAGCCAUGCCGCGUGAGUGAUGAAGGCCCUAGGGUUGUAAAGCUCUUUCACCGGUGAAGAUAAUGACGGUAACCGGAGAAGAAGCCCCGGCUAACUUCGUUCCAGCAGCCGCGGUAGUACGAAGGAGGCUAGCGUUGUUCGGAUUUACUGGGCGUAAAGCGCACGUAGGCGGACUAUUAAGUCAGGGGUGUAAUCCCGGGGCGCAACCCCGGAACUGCCUUUGAUACUGGUAGUCAUGAGUUCGAGAGAGGUGAGUGGAAUUCCGAGUGUAGAGGUGAAACUCGUUGAUAUUCGGAGGAACACCAGUGGCGAAGGCGGCUCACUGGCUCGAUACUGACGCUGAGGUGCGAAAGCGUGGGGAGCAAACAGG